rnacentral:lncRNA from 1 species
CUUUCCUUCCUUUCUUUUUGGUUUAGAGAAGCCCUUUCAAUAUUUCCUUUAACCUGGGUUUUGUGUUGCUGUAUUCUUUAAGUUUUUGUUUGUUGGGAAAAAUUUUUAUUUCCCCUUCUAUUUUAAAUGAUAUUCUUUCUGGAUAGAGUAUUCUAGGUUGCAUAUUUUUUCCUUUGAGCACUUUAAAUAUCUCUUGCCAUUCCCUCCUGGCCUGUAGUGUUUGUGUAGAGAAAUCAGCUGAUAUUCUUAUGGGGGUUCCCUUGUAGGUAACAUUCUGUUUUUCUCUUGCUGCCUUUAGGAUCCUCUCUUUAUUACUAACUUUUGCCAUUUUUAUUAUGAUGUGUCUUGGUGUGGGUCUGUUUGGGUUCAGUUUGUUUGGGGCCCUCUGUGCUUCUUGUAUCUUGAACCCAGUAUCCUUUAGAUUUGGGAAGUUUCCAUCGAUAAUUUCUUCAAAUGUAUUUUCCACCCCCUUAUCUUUUUCUACUCCUUCUGGAAUACCUAUUAUGCAUAGAUUGGCCCACUUUAUAUUAUCCCAUAGGUCUCUUAUAUUGCUUUCCAGUUUUUUGAUUCGGUUUUCUGUCUGUUGACUGGAUUGAGUGAUUUCCAGUAUUCUAUCUUCCAUAUCACUGAUUCGUUCUUCUGCAUCAUUCAUUCUGGUUUUUACUGCCCCUAGUUCAGUUUGCAUCUCUGCAAAUGAAUGUUCUAGUUUUUCUUGGCUCCUCCUUAUGUUUUCUAGUUCCUUUCUGAGGGUAUCUGCAUUACUGUUCAUAUCUUCUCUUAAUUCCUUCAUUAUUUUCCCUAUUUCUCUUUUGAACUCCAGGUCUGUCAGACUGCCGAGAUCUGUUUGAUUGUUGACUGUUUUAGGUGAGUUCUCCUGUUGGUUUGACUGGGGUGGUUUCUCAGCUUCUUCAUCUUGCUUGUUGUUUUCUUUCUCCUGAGGGAGUUGUCCUCUCUGUUAUCAGGCAGUGUUUGCCUUGUCACUGCCGUGGAAUAUUUCCUGAGGGCUGGCAUUGUUGGUCAAUCUUUUUUGAGGCAGUGUGGCUUUUCUGGAGUGUUGAUGGGGCUAACAGUGUUUCUUUGAAGCAAAGGAGGACUUCCUGAGGGCAGACAGGACUGGGAGGUCCACACCAUGAUGGUAGCAGAUUUCACUUGGUCAUGCAGAGCUUGCUCUGGUGUUUUUAGGCUGUGGGGUUCUUACAGGGGGUUGGCAGUGUUGGGCAGCUGUUCCUCAGGAGUGCAGCACCCCCUGGGGGCUGGAGCAGCUAUCUGGGUCACUGAGAACCUAAGAGGCUCUUCCCUAGGGCAGCCCAAAUCAGAAGGACGGCCUGAGAAUAUAGGCGGAUCUUUUCACAGUCUGGCCGAGCUUGUUGCAGCUUUUCUGGGCUGCAGGGGCUCUUCUAGGGGGCUGGUGGUGCUGAGCAGCUAUUCCGCAGGACUGGGGCACCCCCUAGGGGUUUGGGCGGGUAGCAGAGCCACUGGAAACCCAAGAGGCUCCUCCCCAGGGCAGCCCGACUCAGAAAGACCUUCUGAGAUCUUUUCCCGACUCGGCCGAGCUUGUUGCAGCUUUUCUGGGCUGCAGGGGGUCCUGCCUGGAGCUGGCAGUCCUAUGCAGCUGAUCCACUAGGGCACCCCCUGGGGGCUUGGGCAGGUAGCAGGGCCGUUGGAAACCGAAGAGGCUCCUCCCCAGGGCAGCCCGACUCAGAAAAACCGUCUGAGAAUUAGGCAGAUCUAUUCACUGCCUGGCUAGGCUUGUUCUAGCUUUUCUGGGCUGCAGGCCUUUUCUCGGGGGCUGGUGGUGUUUGGUGCUACUCUGCAGAAUUGUAGCCCCUCCAAAGGGCAAGCAGGCCUGUGCAGGGAAAGCCCCUGCAGUGGUAGGCUUCAGGUGAUUGUUGAGGCCAGCCCUCCUGGAUGGCAGGCAGCCCCAGGUUCGGGAGAGCAUAGGGGGUGGUGGGGAUGGGGGGAGGGGAUGCACUGGGAAGCACAGCUUUCAGCUAGCUAGCGGGCCUGUAAGCUUGCUGUGGUGUGGGGAGUAUUCUAUGGGGACCCACCCCUUCUUCUCUCCCCUCCCCAGCAUGGGCGCAGACCAGUCUCUUCUCCCAGGUUCCCUCUGAUGUGGCUUUCCACUUCCCUGUCCCUAGAGUAUUGCUCCCUCCUCUGCCACAGCUUUGUUUUCUAGUCUCCCAGGCAGUCUCUGCCCUGUCAAAUGGUUUCUAGACCUCCCAAGCAGUUUCCGCUCCACCCCGCCCCCCCCAGCCCGGGGACUAACCUCUGGAGCCUAGGUCUCGGUGCCCAGUCCUUUUAUUUCUUUUACUUCUCUGAUUGCCAUGGCUAGUACUUCCAAAACUAUGUUGAAGAGUAGUGGUGAGAGGGGACUUCCUUGUCUUGUUCCUGAUUUCAGUGGGAAUUCUUUCAGCAUUUCACCACUGAGAAUGAUGUUCGCUGUGGGUUUGUCAUAUAUGGCCUUUAUGAUGUUGAGGUAGGUUCCCUCUAUGCCCACUUUCUGAAGGGUUUUUUUUUUAAAUCAGAAAUGGGUGUUGAAUUUUGUCAACGCUUUUUCUGCAUCUAUUGAGAGGAUCAUAUGGUUUUUAUCCUUCAGUUUGUUAAUGUGAUGUAUCACACUGAUGGAUUUGUGGAUAUUGAAGAACACUUGCAUCCCUGGGAUAAAUCCCACUUGAUCAUGAUGGACAAUCCUUUUAAUGUAUUGUGGGAUGUGGUUUGAUAGUAUUUUGUUGAGGAUUGUUGCAUCAAUGUUCAUCAGUGAAACAGGCCUGUAGUUUUCUCUUUGUGUGGUAUCUUUGGUUUUGGUAUCAGGGUGAUGGUGGCCUCAUGGAAUGAGUUUGGGAGUAUCCCUUUUUCUGCAACUUUUGAAAUAGUUUCAGAAGGAGAGGUGUUAGCUCUUCUCUAAAUGUUUGAUAGAAUUCGCCUGAGAAGCCAUCUGGUCCUGGACGUUUGUUUGUUGGAAGGUUUUUAAUCACGGUUUCAAUUUCAGUACUUGUGAUUGGUUCCAUUCAUCUUUUCUAGUUCAUCUUGGUUUAGUCUUGGAAGAUUGUACUUUUCUAAGAAUUUGUCUGUUUCUUCUAGGUUUUCCAUUUUAUUGGUGUAUGGUUGCAUACAGUUGUCUCUUAUGAUCCUUUGUAUUUCUGUGAUGUCCGUUGUUACUCCUCCUUUUUCAUUUCUAAUUUUAUUGAUUUGAGUCCUCUCUCUUUUUUGAUUGAUAAGUCUGGCUAAGGGUUUAUCAAUAUUGUUGAUCCUUUCAAAGAACCAGCUUUUCAUUUCAUUGAUCUUUUCUAUGGUUUUCUUUUUUUUCUAUUUCAAUCAUUUCUGCUCUGAUCUUUAUGAUUGCUUUCCUCUACUAACUUCAGGUCUUGUCUGUUCUUCUCUCUUGAGCUGCUUUAGAUGUAAAGUUAGCUUGUUUAUUUGGGCUUUUUCUUGUUUCCUGAGGUGGGCUUGUAUUGCUAUAAACUUUCCUCUUAGAACAGCUUUUGCUGCAUCCCAAAGGUUUUGGAGUGUUGUAUAUUCAUUGUCAAUUGCUUCUAGGAAUUUUUUAAUUUCCUCUUUGAUUUCUUCAGUGAUCCAUUGGUUGUUUAGUAGCAUGUUGUUUAGUCUCCAUGUGUUGUGUUUUUUGCAGUUUUUUCUUGUUGUUAAUUUCCAGUCAUAUAACGCUGUGGUUGGAAAAGAUACCUGAUAUGAUUUCAAUUUUCUUAAAGUUACGGAGGCUUGAUUUGUGGCCCAGCAUGGGAUCAGUCCUACAGAAUAUUCUAUGUGCACUUGAGAGACAUGGGGGAAUGUCCUAUAAAUUCUAAGUCCAUCUGGUCUAAUGCUUCAUUCAGGGCUUGUGUUUCCUUAUUGAUUUUCUGUCUGGAUGAUCUUUCCAUUGCUGUAAGUGGGGUGUUAAAGACCCCAACUAUUAUUGUGUUAUUGUCAAUUUGUCCUUUUAAGGUUGUUAGCAGUUGCUUUAUAUAAUGAGGUGAUCCUAUGUUAGUUGCACAUAUAUUUAAAAAUGUUAUAUCUUCUUCUUGGAUUUAUCCUUUGAUCAUUAUGUAAUAUCCUUUCUUGUCUCUUAUAAUAUUUUUUUAAUUUUAAGGUCACUUUUGUCUGAUGUGAGUAUUGCUACUCCAUCUUUAUUUUGAUUUCCUUUUGCAUGGAAUAUUUUCUUCCAUCCUCUCACUUUCAAUUUGUAUGUGUCCCUAGAAGUGAAGUGGGUCUCUUGAAGACAGCAUAUAUAUGGGUCUUAUUUUUGUAUCCAUUCACCCAGUCUGUGUCUUUUGGUUGGGGCAUUUAGUUCAUUUACAUUAAGGUAAUUAUUGAUAUGCAUAUUCUUAUUUCCAUUUUAUUAACUUUUUUAUUUGUUUUUGUUGCUCUUUUUUCUUUCCUUCUUCCCUGGUUCUUGCCUGUUGUGGUUUGAUGAUUAUCUUUAUUGUUGCAUUUGAGUUGAUUUUUCUUAUUUGUUUGUGUAUCAAUUGUAGAUUUUUGGUUUGCAGUUAUGCUGAAGUUUUGAUAUAGGAGUCUAUAAGUUGUUGAUCUCUUGAUUGCAAGUGCAUCUCCAGUGUCCUGCAUUUGUACCUUCCUCUUCUCACGAUUUCUGAUUUUGGUAGCAUAUUUUUGCUUGGAUGAUUUCCUAUCUUUACUUCAUAUAUGCAUUUACUUGUGAGCCUUGUCAUUUGUGGUUUUUUUUUGUUUCUAGUUGUGGACUUUUCUUUUAUACCUAGAGAAGUUCAUUUAGUAUUUGUUGGGAGGCUGGUUUAGUUAUGCUGAAUUCUCUUAGCUUUUGAUUAUCUGUAAAGCUUUUGAUUUCUCCUUCAAAUAUGAAAGUAAUCUUGGUUGGAGGUAUUUUUCUUUCAUCAUAUUAAUUAUCUCAUGUCACUCCCUUCUGGCCUGUAGAGUUUCUGCUGAAAAUUCUGCCGAUAACCUUAUCGGGUUUCCCUUUUAGGUUAUUUGUUUCUUUUCUCUAGCUGCUUUCAGUAUUUUCUCUUCAUCUUUAGUUUUGGUGAGUUUGAUUAAUAUUUGUCUUGGAGUGUUCCUCCUUGGGUUUAUUUUACAUGAUACUCAUUGUGCUUCCUGGAUUUGAGUGAGUGGUUCUUUUCCUAUGUUAGGGAAGUUUUUGACUAUUAUCUCUUCAAAUACUUUUUCUGUCCCUUUCUCUCUCUUUUCUCCUUCUGGAACCCUUACAAUAUCGAUGUUGGUGCCUUUAAUAUUGUCCCAGAGUUAUCUGAGAUUCUCUUAAUUUCUUUUCAAUCUUUCUUCUCUUUUCUGUUCCACAUCAGUAAUUUCCACUAGUCUGUGCUCCACCUUGUUUUAUUUGUUCUUCUGCCUCCUGUAUACUGCUGUUGGUUGCUUCUAAUGAAUUUUUUUAUUUCAGUUAUUGUAUUUUACACCUCUGCUUUCUUAAGGUUUAAAUAUUAUAUUUCUUUGCUCAAUGUUUGCUGUAGAUUAUCAGUCUUUGCCUCCAGUUUAUUUCCAGUAUCUUGCAUCAACUUCAGCAUCAUCAUUCUAAAGUCUUUUUCCUGGAGGCUGAAAAUCUCCUCAUCGUUUAGCUGUUUUUCUGGGUUUUUUUUUCUUUCUCUUUGAGUUAUAGUUCUCUGCCUUUUCAUUUUUAUAGGUUUUGUUGUGGUGUCCUUUUUGCAGACAAUAGAGUUCUAACCUCUCUUCCUUCUGAUGUCUGCCCCUCUUGUGGCUCUAGUUGGUAGGGGGGCUAGCUGUAAGCUUCCUGAUGGGAGGGACUGGUGAGGGCCCACUUGUAGGUGGGGCUGAUUCCUCUCCCUCUGGUGGGUGGGUCUUUGUGGGUGAGAUUAGAUGUGGCUGUGUGUUUGGGGGUAUUUAUGCAGCCUGUUUACUGAUGUGUGGAUUUGUGAUACUACCUGGGUUAUUGUUUGGCCUGGGGCUUCUCAGUACUGUUGAGUGGGGCCAGGCCAUAUUUUCCCCAAAUGGGCACCUCUAGAGGAAUACACACUUAAGAAUAUUCUGGAAAACUUUGCCUCUAAUGUCCUCCCCCACAACAAGCCACAGUCGCCCCCUGUUUCCCAGGAGAUCCUCCAAGAACUGCAGUCAGGUCUGAACUAGAUUCCUAUGGAGACUCUGCUUUGCCCUGGGACCCAGAGUACAUGAAAGCCUGUGUGUUCCUUUCAAGUAUGGGGUCUCCAUUUCCCCUAGUACCAUGGAGCUCCUGUGCACAAGCCCUACUGGCCUUCAGUGCCAGAUGCUCUGGGGGCUUUCUCCCAGUGCCAGAUCCCCAAGCAUGGGACUUGAUGUGGGGCUCAGAACUCUCACUCCUGUAGGUGAGUCUCUGUGACACAGUUACUUUCCAGUCUGUGGGCUUCCCACCUGGCAUGUAUGCGGUUGCUUAUAUAUUGUAAUCGCCCCUUCUACUUCUUGAUGUGGCCUCUUCAUUGUCUUCUGGAAUAGAAUAUCUUUUUGAAAGUUUCAAGUCCAUUUGGUUGAAGGUUGUUCAGCAUUUUGUUCUAAUUUUGUUGUUUUUAUGAGAGAAGUUGACCUCUAGUCCUUCUAUUCCACCAACUUAAUCCCAUCUGACCUACGUAUAUCUUUUUGAAUUAAUGUUUUUGUUCUUCUCAGAAUGAAAUUCCUGGAUAUGUAGUUUUUUUUUUUUCAGUUUUUUGAGAAAUCUUAAUACUGUUUUCUACAGUGGCUACAGCAAUUUACAUUCCCACCAACAGUGUAUGAAGGUUC